UACAGGGGGGGCAAGCGUUGUUCGGAAUUACUGGGCGUAAAGGGCUCGUAGGUGGCCAACUAAGUCGGACGUGAAAUCCCUCGGCUUAACCGGGGAACUGCAUCCGAUACUGGAUGGCUUGAGUUCGGGAGAGGGAUGCGGAAUUCCAGGUGUAGCGGUGAAAUGCGCAGAUAUCAGGAGGAACACCGGUGGCGAAGGCGGAUCUCUGGGCCUUGCCUGACGCUGAGGCGCGAAAGCUAGGGGAGCGAACAGG
rnacentral:rRNA from 1 species